rnacentral:tRNA from 1 species
GCCGUCGUAGCUAAGUGGUAUAGCACUUCCAUGGUAAGGAAGGGGCCGGGUGUUCGACUCACCUCGACGGCACCA